UCGCCCUACUUAAAUCUAACGCGCUCGAGAAUAUCUGAUGAUUAUUUUUUUUACAAAUAUGAUGCUUUAUCCUUGACGGGCGGCCAUAUAUUUGGCGGAGGUACUUCACUGGGUACAAGAUAGCCUCCUGUAUAUUAAUCUGCCGCGUUGUAGUACUCUCGAAAUCGGUAUAUAAACAACAAGGCUAAACGGGUAGAUUCAGACCAGAACAUCUAGAAAAAUUAUUUACGGAGGCGUUAAUAACAUUAAUAAAAUCUAUUACAUAAGGAAAAGAAAAAAAUAGCAAAAUACCCAAAAAUCAUGAGUGUCUCUGGCUGAUCACCAACUUGUCAGUAAUCAAAAAUGAUCAAGAGAGGCAAGCAAGGGGGCAAAGCAACGGACAAUACUUACGAGCACACUCCGUACAUGCAUCAAGCGCUGCAUGAAGACGUCCGCGUGGUGCUUCCUCACGUGUCGAAGUAAAUGCUCACCCCUGACGUACGCCCUCGCGUUCACGCAGUACAUGCAGCGACGGGGACGGUCCAGAGCGUGCGUCGGCACGUGGCGACGCAUGUUGAUUUCCUUCUCAAAGGGUUUGCCGCACACCUCGCACUUGAACGCUAAAGACAAAAUUACAGUUUGUGCUUUUUAAUUAUAUAAUAAUGUUAGACUAAUAAAAGCCGACCGAAU